rnacentral:rRNA from 2 species
UUAUAUGAGAGUUUGAUCCUGGCUCAGGACGAACGCUGGCGGCGUGCCUAAUACAUGCAAGUCGAACGCACAGAUAUCAACAGAAGCUGCUUGCAGUGGAAGUUAAUUGAUGUGAGUGGCGGACGGGUGAGUAACACGUGGGUAACCUACCCAAAAGUGGGGGAUAACAUUUGGAAACAGAUGCUAAUACCGCAUAAUUUAAGUGACCACAUGGUCACUUAAUGAAAGAUGGUUUCGGCUAUCACUUUUGGAUGGACCCGCGGCGUAUUAGCUAGUUGGUGGGAUAACGGCCUACCAAGGCGAUGAUACGUAGCCGACCUGAGAGGGNAACAGAAGCUGCUUGCAGUGGAAGUUAAUUGAUGUGAGUGGCGGACGGGUGAGUAACACGUGGGUAACCUACCCAAAAGUGGGGGAUAACAUUUGGAAACAGAUGCUAAUACCGCAUAAUUUAAGUGACCACAUGGUCACUUAAUGAAAGAUGGUUUCGGCUAUCACUUUUGGAUGGACCCGCGGCGUAUUAGCUAGUUGGUGGGAUAACGGCCUACCAAGGCGAUGAUACGUAGCCGACCUGAGAGGGUAAUCGGCCACAUUGGGACUGAGACACGGCCCAAACUCCUACGGGAGGCAGCAGUAGGGAAUCUUCCACAAUGGACGAAAGUCUGAUGGAGCAACGCCGCGUGAGUGAAGAAGGUUUUCGGAUCGUAAAACUCUGUUGUUGGAGAAGAACAGGGACUAGAGUAACUGUUAGUCCUAUGACGGUAUCCAACCAGAAAGCCACGGCUAACUACGUGCCAGCAGCCGCGGUAAUACGUAGGUGGCAAGCGUUGUCCGGAUUUAUUGGGCGUAAAGCGAGCGCAGGCGGUUUUUUAAGUCUGAUGUGAAAGCCUUCGGCUUAACCGAAGAAGUGCAUUAGAAACUGGGAAACUUGAGUGCAGAAGAGGAGAGUGGAACUCCAUGUGUAGCGGUGAAAUGCGUAGAUAUAUGGAAGAACACCAGUGGCGAAGGCGGCUCUCUGGUCUGUAACUGACGCUGAGGCUCGAAAGUAUGGGGAGCGAACAGGAUUAGAUACCCUGGUAGUCCAUACCGUAAACGAUGAAUGCUAAGUGUUGGAGGGUUUCCGCCCUUCAGUGCUGCAGCUAACGCAUUAAGCAUUCCGCCUGGGGAGUACGACCGCAAGGUUGAAACUCAAAGGAAUUGACGGGGGCCCGCACAAGCGGUGGAGCAUGUGGUUUAAUUCGAAGCUACGCGAAGAACCUUACCAGGUCUUGACAUCCUUUGACCACUGUAGAGAUACAGCUUUCCCUUCGGGGACAAAGUGACAGGUGGUGCAUGGUUGUCGUCAGCUCGUGUCGUGAGAUGUUGGGUUAAGUCCCGCAACGAGCGCAACCCUUAUGACUAGUUGCCAGCAUUAAGUUGGGCACUCUAGUGAGACUGCCGGUGACAAACCGGAGGAAGGUGGGGAUGACGUCAAAUCAGCAUGCCCCUUAUGACCUGGGCUACACACGUGCUACAAUGGUUGGUACAACGAGUUGCGAACCCGCGAGGGUAAGCUAAUCUCUUAAAGCCAAUCUCAGUUCGGAUUGUAGGCUGCAACUCGCCUACAUGAAGUCGGAAUCGCUAGUAAUCGCGGAUCAGCACGCCGCGGUGAAUACGUUCCCGGGCCUUGUACACACCGCCCGUCACACCAUGAGAGUUUGUAACACCCGAAGCCGGUGGGGUAACCUCUAUGAGGAGCUAACCGUCUAAGGUGGGACAGAUGAUUGGGGUGAAGUCGUAACAAGGUAGCCGUAGGAGAACCUGCGGCUGGAUCACCUCCUUUCUAAGGAA